UGAACGCUGGCGGCGUGCCUACUACAUGCAAGUCGCGCGCACAGACGCGGAGCUUGCUCCUCUGACGUUAGCGGCGGACGGGUGAGUAACACGUGGAUAACCUACCUAUAAGACUGGGAUAACUUCGGGAAACCGGAGCUAAUACCGGAUAAUAUAUUGAACCGCAUGGUUCAAUAGUGAAAGACGGUUUUGCUGUCACUUAUAGAUGGAUCCGCGCCGCAUUAGCUAGUUGGUAAGGUAACGGCUUACCAAGGCAACGAUGCGUAGCCGACCUGAGAGGGUGAUCGGCCACACUGGAACUGAGACACGGUCCAGACUCCUACGGGAGGCAGCAGUAGGGAAUCUUCCGCAAUGGGCGAAAGCCUGACGGAGCAACGCCGCGUGAGUGAUGAAGGUCUUCGGAUCGUAAAACUCUGUUAUUAGGGAAGAACAAAUGUGUAAGUAACUAUGCACGUCUUGACGGUACCUAAUCAGAAAGCCACGGCUAACUACGUG
rnacentral:rRNA from 1 species